GACGAACGCUGGCGGCGUGCUUAACACAUGCAAGUCGAACGGAAAGGCCCUGCUUUUGUGGGGUGCUCGAGUGGCGAACGGGUGAGUAACACGUGAGUAACCUGCCCUUGACUUUGGGAUAACUUCAGGAAACUGGGGCUAAUACCGGAUAGGAGCUCCUGCUGCAUGGUGGGGGUUGGAAAGUUUCGGCGGUUGGGGAUGGACUCGCGGCUUAUCAGCUUGUUGGUGGGGUAGUGGCUUACCAAGGCUUUGACGGGUAGCCGGCCUGGGAGGGGGACCGGCCACAUUGGGCCUGAGAUACGGCCCAGACUCCUACGGGAGGCAGCAGUGGGGAAUAUUGCACAAUGGGCGGAAGCCUGAUGCAGCAACGCCGCGUGCGGGAUGACGGCCUUCGGGUUGUAAACCGCUUUCGCCUGUGACGAAGCGUGAGUGACGGUAAUGGGUAAAGAAGCACCGGCUAACUACGUG
rnacentral:rRNA from 1 species